GCUUACGGCAACACCGCCUGGUUCAUGCCCGAUCUCGGAAGCUAACAUAGGUUGGGCCUGGUUAGUACUUGGAUGGGAGACCGCCUGGGAAUACCAGGUGCUGUAAGCU
rnacentral:rRNA from 1 species